UACGGAGGGUGCAAGCGUUAUCCGGAUUCACUGGGUUUAAAGGGUGCGUAGGCGGAUAGGUAAGUCCGUGGUGAAAUCCUGCAGCUUAACUGCAGAACUGCCAUGGAUACUAUCUAUCUUGAAUGUCGUGGAGGUUAGCGGAAUAUGUCAUGUAGCGGUGAAAUGCUUAGAGAUGACAUAGAACACCCAUUGCGAAGGCAGCUAACUACGCGAUAAUUGACGCUGAUGCACAAAGCGUGGGGGAUCAAACAGGAUUAGAAAACCCCUA
rnacentral:rRNA from 1 species